GACGCAUUAUUAGUAGAAACCAAAACUCAAUUAUUUUAUUCCGAACUAUGCGCAACCUGAUUUUAGCUGUGACAGGAUAUGUAAGCGCUUUCGAGCUCGAUCAUCACAAAAGAAAAACCUAAAAACCCUUAGGGAACCCAAAAGACACAAAAGUCGAAAAGAAGCGGCAAAGUUCGAAGUACGAGAAGCAACACAAGAGUUAGCCAAUGUCAACCCUAAACUGGGUAGAAUUUUUUAGGAGACCUAAAAAUUCCCUUCAAGACAAUCAGCAAAAGAAGACGAUAAACCCAGACCGUACAUUGGGGCAGAAUUUUUUAGGGGACCUCAAAAAUUCCUGUACAUCGAGACGACACAAGAGUCGAGCAACUCGAGACCUAAAACUGGGGCAAAAUUUUUUAGAAGGAUCUGAAAAAUUCCACCAGUUCAGGAAUACGGCAACAGGACUUCCUCGGAAGACGAGAGGACCUCGUUCAGAAAUACAUGUCAUGACAUUUAAAAUAAACAAGAUUUUCAAAGAAAACAACACAUAUUUUAUAACUUUAUCUGAGUUUUUUCAAACAAUAGUUAGCGUAAGUUCAUUCUAAAAGCCAUCUCUUAAAUGGCAAGUCCAAGAGGAGAGGAUUCAGAGAAGCAGCCAAGAGAAGACACCAGACGGAAGACGACAACGCUAAUCGGCCUCUUAGAAAACUAACUUAUUUUUGUAGAUACAGGUUUCGCAAUAUCAAAUAGGAAGACAGCUAUGUCACUAACCGGUUUGCUCAUGGUAAAAAGGAAAGGCAAACUCAACAAGACCUUAGCCAGGAGGGUUACAAGAUGGAUGAACGGGAGAAACAUACAUCUGACCAAAAGGGUCGUAAAAUGGACGAAAAAGCAUACAUCCGACCAAAAGGAUUAGGACAGAGAAGAAGGACAUAUUCUACCAAAAGAGUCAAAACGGACAAAAAAGGCGCAUUCGACCACAAGGGUCACAACCAACACUACAGACAAAAGAAAGAUCAUCCAGCUGCAAGGGCCAUAUCUGUUACUUGCAUUCCAAAAGGGCCAUUUCAUUCAAACAACAAGCAUAUGCACGCCAAAAGGGUCAUUUCAUUCAAACAAAAAGCAUAUGCAUGCCAAAAGGGCCAUUUUAUUCAAAAGAAAAAAAAGCAUUUGCAUGCCAAAAGGGCCAUUUUAUUCAAAAAAAAAAAAAAAACAUUUGCAUGCCAAAAGGGCCAUUCGUACAAACAAAAGCCUCUGCAUACCAAAAAGGCCAUUCAUACAAAAAAAAAGCGUCUGCAUGCCAAAAGGACCAUUUCAUUCAAACAAAAAGCAUGUGCAUGCCAAAAGGGCCAUUUUAUUCAAACAAAAAUCAUCUGCAUGCCAAAAGGGCCAUUCAUACAAACAAAAACAUUUGCAUGCCAAAAAGGCCAUUCAUACAAACAAAAAGCAAAUGCAUGCCAAAAGAGACAUUUAUACAAACAAAUGCAUCUGCAUGCCAAAAGGGUCAUUCAUUCAUAAAAACAAAAAGCAUAUGCAUGCCACAAGGGCCAUUCAUUCAAACAAGCAUUGCAAUAAGGGCUAUUCAUACCAACAAGAGCAUCGCCACAAGGGCCAUUAAUUCAAACAAAUCGUCGCCAAAAGGGUAAUUCAUCAAAAAGAUCAUGCAUACAUCACGGGGUAUAUCUGCAAAGCUGUCAACAGACGAAAAGAGGUAUAGAGCCGCCAGAAAGGAGCACGCCGCUGAACCGGAUCCAAACACUUGCGGAGCAAACAUGAAACUUUUUCUUGCGUAGCCGAUCAAGAUAGGGUGCCCAUGAGAAUCAAGCUCUCCAGCCAGGAUUUGGAAGCCAUCCGAUCUCAGACUUAGCCACAAUUUGUCUGUUUAUCUUCUUUCUUUGCUAAAAACCACAACUGGUCAGAUACACACCAAAAAAUUCGAAGGUAUUCCCGUUUUCAUCUGAUUCAACGAUCAUAUGAAGUACAAAUCCCUUAAAGGGAUUUGUCUCGUUCUGUUUUGAAUACUUGCAUCUCAUUGGGACAUCCGAAUAGGACUGGAUCGACAAAAAAUGGUUGGAAUCUAGCCCUUAGUAGUCUGUUUCCAUUCAAUCACAUCAGUCAAACAAUAACUCACGGGAAAAAUCCCCAGAAUUUCUACAACUCUCAAAUCGACAACUUAGAGUUUUGGAUCGAUUUUGGGGUUCUAUAAGUAGAACCCCAUUUCUCACAUAUAGACAGAGAGACAAGUAUGAAACCCAGAUUUUGAGCAUUCACACUCGAAAUUAGGGUUAUUAGUUCAAAGUUUUAGACUUAGCCUUGAAGUUGAGUCAUUAGUUUAAAAAAAUUGCCUUUGUUUUCAUUGUGUGGUAGCUGAGGAUGGGAUUGGAAGAACAAAAGGAGCUUUCAAAUCCAUUCUUGAUCAAGGUUGCACUAAAAAUAAGACCUUCCUGUUAGGCUACGGCCCAACAUGCCAUUCUUUCAACAAAACAGUCUGGUAAAGCCGUGAACGGGAAGCUAUUAUUGAACGUGAUUGCAUGAAGGCCCAGCCAUGAGUAGAAAUGACCAACUAGGGGCUUGGUACACCUCUAGCCUGUCCCUUUCUUUAUUUAUGUUAUUUCAUUGCUAUGUAACUGUUGUAUUGUAUUUAUCAAGUUGUAAAAACUCACUGGUAUUGGAAUCCUUUUGAUUACGAA